AUACUUACCUGUCAAGGGACAUUGCAUGAUCACGAACGUGGUUUUUCCAGGACGAGGCUUAUCAGUUGUACUCCGGAUGUGGUAACCGCUGCUAUUUACCCAAAUGUGAGAACUCCACUGCACAAUUUUUGGUAGUGAGGGACUGUGUUCAUGCUCUCCCCUG